rnacentral:rRNA from 1 species
UACGUAGGGGGCAAGCGUUGUCCGGAAUCAUUGGGCGUAAAGCGCGUGUAGGCGGUUCCGUAAGUCUGCUGUGAAAGUCCAGGGCUCAACCCUGGGAUGCCGGUGGAUACUGCAGGGCUAGAGUACGGAAGAGGCGAGUGGAAUUCCCGGUGUAGCGGUGAAAUGCGCAGAUAUCGGGAGGAACACCUAUUGCGAAGGCAGCUCGCUGGGACGUUACUGACGCUGAGACGCGAAAGCGUGGGGAGCAAACAGG